GAUGAACGCUGGCGGCGUGCCUAAUACAUGCAAGUCGAGCGAACAGACGAGGAGCUUGCUCCUCUGACGUUAGCGGCGGACGGGUGAGUAACACGUGGAUAACCUACCUAUAAGACUGGGAUAACUUCGGGAAACCGGAGCUAAUACCGGAUAAUAUAUUGAACCGCAUGGUUCAAUAGUGAAAGACGGUUUUGCUGUCACUUAUAGAUGGAUCCGCGCCGCAUUAGCUAGUUGGUAAGGUAACGGCUUACCAAGGCAACGAUGCGUAGCCGACCUGAGAGGGUGAUCAGCCACACUGGAACUGAGACACGGUCCAGACUCCUACGGGAGGCAGCAGUAGGGUAUCUUCCGCAAUGGGCGAAAGCCUGACGGGGCAACGCCGCGUGAGUGAUGAAGGUCUUCGCAUCGUAAAACUCUGUUAUUAGGGAAGAACAAAUGUGUAAGUAACUAUGCACGUAUUGACGGUACCUAAUCAGAAAGCCACUGCUAACUACGUG
rnacentral:rRNA from 1 species